GAGAGAGGGAGGGAGAGGGAAGGAGAGAGGGAAGGAGAGAGGGAGAGACUGUCAGACAGAGCGCAAACCGCAAAAGGUGAAAUAUUUGAAGGAGAUCUCCUGCGCACUUGGUGCUAAUGCAAAUGUCUCAUCACCAUUAUGCGCUGCAGCUGCUGUGAAUGUUAAAUGAUUCAAACUUGAGGUGAAAAUGGAUUCUCCGAAACGAGCUCAUGUCAUGGAGAGAAAAAUGAGCUCCAUCGCAUCAUAAACGUCUGUCGGUGGCUCAAAGACACUCGUCAUGCAGAGCAGAUGAUGUGAAAAACCCUCCAUGUCUCAAGGCAAUACGGCAACUGCAACAGGAGACAGAUUAAAGCCUGUGUGGCAGUUGAGACACUUUCUGAAGAUGUAGACACCCUUGAGGCUAAUGCUGUUUAAACAAUAACUAUAUUAAUGAAGACUAACAUGCAGCAAUGAAGUGUCUUCUGGAGUUCUUCUAUGUUUGUGAGUAGUAAAAUAAGCAAAACAUCCCCUCUCCAGCUCAGGGCCAGACAGCAGCCUCCCUGCCCAGCUAUGGCUCCCCCUAGCCGUGCCUCCAUAUUUCCUUGUUAAUGCACACCAUAAUGCCCUGACCCUCCCUGAUCUAUCACACUGUAAAGACAUCAAAAUACAUCUGAAAACCUCAAUUUUUCAGUCUAAAUGUGAAAUAUACAGUCUCUACUGCCUCCCAGUAAGUAUUUGGCACCAUUGGCCUCAGCAGAAGAGAGGAUUUCUUACCUUUUGAGAGUGGCUAUGUCUAUGCCUCUCUCUCCAAUGUCCCAACCUCGGCAGCCUUCGUCUUCUUCCCAGCAAUCCCUGCAAAAAAGGACACUUCCAUGUAUGUUGAAUAUGCAGGGGUGAUCAAAUUCGACUAAACCAUUUCUAAAGAGGCCAGAGAACCCCUAAAUCCCAGAAAUUGCCCUAUUGGCCUUAGAUAGACAUAAGCUCCAAUAUUAAAUUUUAAAAUGGCAUUUUAGUGGUCUUAAACAGCAAAGCCCACUCCUCAAAUACACCAAGUCAUACCCCUAUGAUUUCAACUUAUUGUGGUCCAUCCAGUAGUCAUACAGUUGAUACUGAAGAGCAAUUGUCAGUAAGUGCGCAGCUGAACUCUCAGGCGCUUUCUGCAGCCUUUUGUGCGUUUGCCAAGCCCUGGAGCAUCUUUGAGAGGCUACAAAUAGUCCAUUCGUGGUAUUUAUGAGUCAAAGAGACCCCUUUCUUGUGGACUGGACCACAAAAACGGGAAGAAAUAUAUUCGCAUGUGCGUUGAAUCCAACAACGCAAAAAGAGAACCAUGGAUCCAAAUGGACCUCUCCAAAAGUGCACAAGUGUAUCCAAAGGCACAGAGAGAACUCCAAAGGCUCCAAGCGGGAAAAAAGGAGUUUAACCAGCUUAAAAGGUAAUUAUAAUAAUAAUUCUGUUAAAACUUUACGAAGUGUACAAAUAAAAUUCCAACUACACUCAAAUAAUGUAAAUUUAAAGUUCAUUUGAAAACCGUGCAACGAGAAAAUGUACCAGAUGGCGCAAUUGGCACUGCUGACAGUAAAGUUAUUAAUUUAACGUGUUUAAAGAUAUACUUUACUUAAAUAUAUAGUUACUAAUACGGACAGCGCUAUAGCACUGCACACAAAUGAAAAUUACCUACGGUAGCUAUGAGGCAGGCAAAAACUGGAGCUGUAAACGCAGCCAGUCAUUGCGUCAAAGUAGUCCUGCUGCGAGCCACAGUCUGGUCCUUCUUCAGACUUGAAUUAGCAUAAAUUUAGUCCUGUAGCACAAAGAAAUCAUUAUACGAAAAACUCUGCUGACAAAUCCAAUGGAUUCUUAGGUUGGGAAAUGGCUGCGCCGGCGGUUGAAGAUGUUUUCCUCAAAAUAAACCCAUAUGCAAACUAUGUUGGCAGCUGUCGGUAAAGCGUUAAAGGACAAGCCUGUUCCCUUCAAAGCCUGUAAGUUUACGUCGUAGGCCUAUAUUACAACAACUCAGUCACAAAUAGGAUGGGCGUUUGUCUCUCUGCGUGUCCAGACCUGAGCAUCCGCAGGUUAAAGACCCCGCAUCCCCUCUCUGAGACAGCAAGCCUCAGGCAACAGCAACACAAGUGAAGCCGUGUCCUCCCUGCUGUGGAAACUGAAGACAAAAAUAGAAAUAAAAAGACGAGUGUCCGUUAGAAAUGACAAAGCCUUCCUUAUCUGCUGUGAAAGGACUGUUCGCAUCAGCGCUCAGGUAAAAACAGGCGCAUGUGUCGUGUUUAUUCAGCACUAAAGCACCAGCAGCACAGCCGGAGCUCCAGCCGGACGCGCGCCUGUCCUCAUUGUGCGUUUGCCGCAGCAGCUGUCAAACAGAUCAUAUUUCAGACUGAAGUCACAGAGCCAUGAAUACUCACAGGUCCUAUAUGAUACCACACUUGUGCAAGAUCAGCUGUGCAUCGGACUGCGGUCAAAAUGCGUAAUAUUUGUGCUCCAGUGUGGCAAACAGCCGCUGUUGCAAGACGUUCUUGUUUUUUCCAGCUGGGGGGGCAGAAGGAGCGCUCUGUUGACAGGUUAUAAGCCACAAUCCUGAGGCAGGGACUAAACCUAACAAAAGUGCUGUACCGUGGGUACAAGUCAACCGAAAUAUAUAGACUCUGGGAUUACCCAUUUCUCUUAUUGCAAGCAGGCCUACACAAUGCUGUAUUGUAUAACUUCAGCGAAUAUAAGAUUCUUGUUUUGCAUAUACUGUGACAAACAACCUUAUGUGGUAUUAAAAUUAAACAGAAAAAAAUACAUGCAAA